rnacentral:ncRNA from 2 species
CGUAAACACUCUGGAGAGAGCGGUUGAAUCCGCCGCCGAAGGUGCACGAGACGUAUCCGCGUCUCCAAACUCUCAGGCAAAAGGACAGAGGGGCGCCC